GACGAACGCUGGCGGCGUGCUUAACACAUGCAAGUCGAACGGAAAGGCCCUGCUUUUGUGGGGUGCUCGAGUGGCGAACGGGUGAGUAACACGUGAGUAACCUGCCCUUGACUUUGGGAUAACUUCAGGAAACUGGGGCUAAUACCGGAUAGGAGCUCCUGCUGCAUGGUGGGGGUUGGAAAGUUUCGGCGGUUGGGGAUGGACUCGCGGCUUAUCAGCUUGUUGGUGGGGUAGUGGCUUACCAUGGCUUUGACGGGUAGCCGGCCUGAGAGGGUGACCGGCCACAUUGGGACUGAGAUACGGCCCAGACUCCUACGGGAGGCAGCAGUGGGGAAUAUUGCACAAUGGGCGGAAGCCUGAUGCAGCAACGCCGCGUGCGGGAUGACGGCCUUCGGGUUGUAACCCGCUUUCGCCUGUGACGAAGCGUGAGUGACGGUAAUGGGUAAAGAAGCACCGGCUAACUACGUG
rnacentral:rRNA from 1 species